rnacentral:lncRNA from 1 species
GCUGGGAAGUUCUGAUCUCCAUGACUACCACCCAUACUGCCCAUAGCUCCACCAUAAACAAAGCCCCUUCCACUACCAUAGGAAGCUCCUCUUCCCUUUCCAACCAAUGUGCCUUUUAAUUUACCUGAUUCUGAUGUGGUAUCAAUUUCUCCAGGAUCUGUUUUUGUAGGAGAUGAAGAUUGAGAUCCACUACCAGGUCGAUGACCCAGCUGUGGUGCAGGGGCUUGUACAGAAGAUGAAGUUCGACCUGGCACAGAACUUCUCUGAGCAGCAUGGAGCUGAGUAGGAGCAGUUCUGUUCACUCGGGUAUGUGAAGUAGCUGGCUGAUAAUUCAUGUGUGCAGGGAUUACUCCACCCCUUCCACGAGCCCUUAGAUGAGGAGAGUGAGAAGGAUUAACUCCAGAAGAUUGCAAAUUGUUCAUAGGCUUUCCGGCAGAUGGAUUGACAGAGUCGUCAAUAUACAGCUUGUCCAUGCUGAUAGAAUCAACAACAUUCUUUCCCCGAAGCGAGGCAUUGUUUUGUUGAACUGAAAAACCCUCAUUGGUAGGGAGAAAGUUCUUGCUUGUGGUUCCAGUUUGGACAUCCCUUUUUGGAGUCAGAUUAAUCUCUUUGUUGGAAGAUCCUGAAGGGUAAAAGGGGGGAGAUGCAUAGUUCAAAUUUGAAGACACUUGUUUCUUAGCAGGCGCGGGAUCAGAUUCUGAAGUGGAGGCGGGUUCGAAAAUUCUCCCUGAGCUAACAUGUGAGGUUUUCUCAAGAGACUCCAAAGAUCUUGUAAAAGACAAGAAAAUAAUUAUCAGAAAGCCUUGACAUAUAUUGGUUGCAUUUGUCCAACUAAUCUAAUCUUAUCUCGUAAAACACAAAGUAUGCACUCACUGUUUAUUUUGCAUCUGGAAUGCUGGACCGUUGCUUUUCUUAUUAGCGGGCUCGUACCUUCGCGGCCCUCUACCUCGAACAACAACCUUAGGGACCUGACCUUGACUGCCACUGUUAUCAUAUCCUGUUCUGUGUCCUCUUGCAUAUCCUCCACGAUCAACAGCUCGAGUUCUGCCACGGCCUCCUCGAUAAUUACCUCUAGAAGGUCUCCUUCCCUAUAUUUUAAACAAUUAUCAGAAAGGUACCACUUGAAAAAAAAAUAAAGGUUAAUAGUAUUGCAUUGUUACAAGACUAUCACCUCUUUGUAGUGCCUUUCUUGCAAAGUCAUCUCAUCAAACUUAUCAUGUCCCCAUUUUCUUUCAUCUUUGGACUCCCACAGUCUCCUUCCACCAUUCAUCCGCCUGAAAAAGAAAAGGAAGGGGGAAGGCUAUGUAAUUUAUGGUUAACGUAAAUAUCAACCAUGUAAAACUAUAGUAGUCUCUAGUGUAUGUACACGACACGAUGGUACGUAGCGUAUGUACACGACACGAUGGAAUCAUUUUGUGAUCAUGAUUUAUUGUCAUAUUCGUAUUUCUCGAAGAUAUUUGCAAGUGGCAACCAUAUACACACAGUGGGAGGACGUUUCAAACAUGUAAACUCACAGAAUAGCCACCUAAUUAGCUCUUCAAACAUUAUCCAGCAUCAUACAAAAUUCAGAAGAAUAUAUGUACCAUGUCAUUUCAGAACUUCCUAAACCAUGUUGAGGCUGAACAUAUCCAGGGAAUGCCAUGCCAACAGCAGGAACUCCCAUGCCACCAGGAUGCUGCCCUCCAAAUUGCAUAACUGUGCCACACCAGAGCCGAUUGAAAGUCAGACAUUUAAAAACUUAAAUCUUUUCUGAACAGACAUACAUUGUAAAAUCACAAGAAAACCAAGGGCUGCUGAUAAAUCAAAAGAACUUGGUACCAAAAUCUCUAUCACAAAAAAUAAGAUAAACAGUUGACUUUUCACAUGUUUACAAAUUAAACUUGGUGCAUGAAUUCCGACGACAGAAGAGAGAGGUUUGAAGUUGCAAUUUGUAUAUUGGAUCCAAAAUUUCCUGUCAGUAAGGUUGAUACUUAAAUGGAAAAUAGCUAAGUAAAACUAACCUGGUAAGAAGGCUGGGAAGUUCUGAUCUCCAUGACUACCACCCAUACUGCCCAUAGCUCCACCAUAAACAAAGCCCCUUCCACUACCAUAGGAAGCUCCUCUUCCCUUUCCAACCAAUGUGCCUUUUAAUUUACCUGAUUCUGAUGUGGUAUCAAUUUCUCCAGGAUCUGUUUUUGUAGGAGAUGAAGAUUGAGAUCCACUACCAGGUCGAUGACCCAGCUGUGGUGCAGGGGCUUGUACAGAAGAUGAAGUUCGACCUGGCACAGAACUUCUCUGAGCAGCAUGGAGCUGAGUAGGAGCAGUUCUGUUCACUCGGGUAUGUGAAGUAGCUGGCUGAUAAUUCAUGUGUGCAGGGAUUACUCCACCCCUUCCACGAGCCCUUAGAUGAGGAGAGUGAGAAGGAUUAACUCCAGAAGAUUGCAAAUUGUUCAUAGGCUUUCCGGCAGAUGGAUUGACAGAGUCGUCAAUAUACAGCUUGUCCAUGCUGAUAGAAUCAACAACAUUCUUUCCCCGAAGCGAGGCAUUGUUUUGUUGAACUGAAAAACCCUCAUUGGUAGGGAGAAAGUUCUUGCUUGUGGUUCCAGUUUGGACAUCCCUUUUUGGAGUCAGAUUAAUCUCUUUGUUGGAAGAUCCUGAAGGGUAAAAGGGGGGAGAUGCAUAGUUCAAAUUUGAAGACACUUGUUUCUUAGCAGGCGCGGGAUCAGAUUCUGAAGUGGAGGCGGGUUCGAAAAUUCUCCCUGAGCUAACAUGUGAGGUUUUCUCAAGAGACUCCAAAG